GUAGGUGGCAAGCGUUGUCCGGAAUUAUUGGGCGUAAAGCGCGCGCAGGCGGUCCUUUAAGGUCUCGAUGUGAAAGCCCACGGGCUCAACCGUGGAGGGUCAUUGGAAACUGGGGGACUUGAGUACAGAAGAGGAAAGCGGAAUUCCAAGUGUAGCGGUGAAAUGCGUAGAGAUUUGGAGGAACACCAGUGGCGAAGGCGGCUUUCUGGUCUGUAACUGACGCUGAGGCGCGACAGCGUGGGGAGCAAACAGGAUUAGAUACCCUGGUAGUCCACGCCGUAAACGAUGAGUGCUAAGUGUUAGGGGGUUUCCGCCCCUUAGUGCUGCAGCUAACGCAUUAAGCACUCCGCCUGGGGAGUACGGCCGCAAAGGCUG
rnacentral:rRNA from 1 species